rnacentral:rRNA from 1 species
GAUGAACGCUGGCGGCGUGCUUAACACAUGCAAGUCGAACGGUGAACACGGAGCUUGCUCUGUGGGAUCAGUGGCGAACGGGUGAGUAACACGUGAGCAACCUGCCCCUGACUCUGGGAUAAGCGCUGGAAUCGGCGUCUAAUACUGGAUAUGUGACGUGACCGCAUGGUCUGCGUUUGGAAAGAUUUUUCGGUUGGGGAUGGGCUCGCGGCCUAUCAGCUUGUUGGUGAGGUAAUGGCUCACCAAGGCGUCGACGGGUAGCCGGCCUGAGAGGGUGACCGGCCACACUGGGAUUGAGACACGGCCCAGACUCCUACGGGAGGCAGCAGUGGGGAAUAUUGCACAAUGGGCGAAAGCCUGAUGCAGCAACGCCGCGUGAGGGAUGACGGCCUUCGGGUUGUAAACCUUUUUUAGCAGGGAAGAAGCGAAAGUGACGGUACCUGCAGAAAAAGCGCCGGCUAACUACGUG